rnacentral:rRNA from 1 species
CGGACGGGUGAGUAACGCGUGAGAACCUGGCUUCAGGUCUGGGACAACCACUGGAAACGGUGGCUAAUACCGGAUGUGCCGAAAGGUGAAAGGUUAACUGCCUGAAGAUGAGCUCGCGUCUGAUUAGCUAGUUGGUAGAGUAAAAGCCUACCAAGGCGACGAUCAGUAGCUGGUCUGAGAGGACGAUCAGCCACACUGGGACUGAGACACGGCCCAGACUCCUACGGGAGGCAGCAGUGGGGAAUUUUCCGCAAUGGGCGAAAGCCUGACGGAGCAAUACCGCGUGAGGGAGGAAGGCUCUUGGGUCGUAAACCUCUUUUCUCAGGGAAGAACACAAUGACGGUACCUGAGGAAUAAGCAUCGGCUAACUCCGUGCCAGCAGCCGCGGUAAUACGGAGGAUGCAAGCGUUAUCCGGAAUGAUUGGGCGUAAAGCGUCCGCAGGUGGCAAUGUAAGUCUGCUGUUAAAGAGUCUAGCUCAACUAGAUAAGAGCAGUGGAAACUACAUAGCUAGAGUACGUUCGGGGCAGAGGGAAUUCCUGGUGUAGCGGUGAAAUGCGUAGAGAUCAGGAAGAACACCAGUGGCGAAGGCGCUCUGCUAGGCCGUAACUGACACUGAGGGACGAAAGCUAGGGGAGCGAAUGGGAUUAGAUACCCCAGUAGUC